GAGCUUAUGAUGAUACUUUUAAUUAUCUUAGCGGAUUUCAGUGAGAUUGAAUCAAUGAUCUGAUUGUUACACACACUGAGGCUC